UACGGGGGGGGCAAGCGUUGUUCGGCAUUACUGGGCGUAAAGGGCUCGUAGGCGGCCAACUAAGUCGGAUGUGAAAUCCCCAGGCUCAACUUGGGAACUGCAUCCGAUACUGGAUGGCUUGAAUUCGGGAGAGGGAUGCAGGAUUCCAGGUGUAGCGGUGAAAUGCGUAGAUAUCUGGAGGAAUACCGGUGGCGAAGGCGGCAUCCUGGACCGACAUUGACGCUGAGGAGCGAAAGCUAGGGGAGCAAACGGG
rnacentral:rRNA from 1 species